GCUGGGGAGGUGAUGGGGACCUGAAUCUGUGUCCUAGGGAAGGGAGGUGUGGAAGGCCCCUUCCUUUCAGGCAGUGCUCUUUGUUUUCAGACAUCUCAGAGCACGCUGUGCCUGUCAGAGGACCACAGCACAAAGCUCAGGGAGGCCUUGGAGCGUGGGGUGGUCUCCUUGAGCCUACAUGACAAUGACAGCAAGGCCACACUGCAGCUCCAGGAAGAGGCCUGUUGCUCAACUUUUGAUCUCUUCAAGUUGCCCUUCACUGAGGCGAGGACCCAGCUCCAGGCACUGAUGUUCAGCUUGGUGGGUUGCGUCAAAAGCCUGGAGAAACGUCUCGAAGCAGUGGGCACUCUGGGGUCUUCAUGCAGUCCUGAGAAGAACACUGUCCGGAGCCAGCAGCUGUUCAUGCCAGAUCCGAGCCCCAGGAAGAACAGAGGUGCUAGCUCAACUUUGCCAGCCAAGAGGAGAGUCCCAGGAGAGUCUCUCAUUAACCCUGGUUUCAAAAGCCUGCGACCAUCCCUCCAUCCCCUUCUAGCAAGAAGGCACCAUCUGGAGUGGACUUCGAAGAUUCCUGACCUCUGCUGUCCCAUCCCCCUGAUGAGUGUCCUACAGGGAGGGUUUUGAACCACAUCUGUGGCUGGUAGUGAUUUUACUGCACCCUGGAUGUGCUGGGCCUCUACUGCUUUCCCUGCUGGCAGGGCCACCCAAGUACCCCACUUGCCAUGAAUUAGGGUUUUUUUUAAAGAACUUUUGUAUCAUGAUGUAAUUAAAAGACUGACUGUGCUUAACUUAUUGCCAAUAAAGCUGCUUUUAGCCAAG